rnacentral:rRNA from 2 species
AGAGUUUGAUCCUGGCUCAGGACGAACGCUGGCGGCGUGCCUAACACAUGCAAGUCGAGCGAGUGAAUCUCCUUCGGGAGUGAAGCUAGCGGCGGACGGGUGAGUAACACGUGGGCAACCUGCCUCAUAGAGGGGAAUAGCCUUCCGAAAGGAAGAUUAAUACCGCAUAAGAUUGUAGCUUCGCAUGAAGUAGCAAUUAAAGGAGCAAUCCGCUAUGAGAUGGGCCCGCGGCGCAUUAGCUAGUUGGUGAGGUAACGGCUCACCAAGGCGACGAUGCGUAGCCGACCUGAGAGGGUGAUCGGCCACAUUGGGACUGAGACACGGCCCAGACUCCUACGGGAGGCAGCAGUGGGGAAUAUUGCACAAUGGGGGAAACCCUGAUGCAGCAACGCCGCGUGAGUGAUGACGGCCUUCGGGUUGUAAAGCUCUGUCUUCAGGGACGAUAAUGACGGUACCUGAGGAGGAAGCCACGGCUAACUACGUGCCAGCAGCCGCGGU